rnacentral:rRNA from 1 species
UACAGAGGGUGCAAGCGUUGUCCGGAAUUAUUGGGCGUAAAGGGCUCGUAGGCGGUUUGUCGCGUCGGGAGUGAAAACCCAGGGCUUAACCCUGGGCUGGCUUCCGAUACGGGCAGACUAGAGGUAUGCAGGGGAGAACGGAAUUCCUGGUGUAGCGGUGAAAUGCGUAGAGAUCCGGAGGAAUACCAGUGGCGCAAGCGGCGCUCUGGGUCGAGCCUGGCACUGAGACGCGAAGGCAUGGGGAGCGAACGGG